CCCAUUCUGAAAAGACAUGGGCAAGGAGGUGCGGCUUCCUCGGAUAAGAGUCCGUGAAAUCAUCUGAGCAAGCACUUCAGGACCUCUGCAGUGUUACAGUGACAGUCUUCAGCAUGCUGCUCAACCUUCUGCCCGAGCAACGGUCUCCCAACUUGCCGAAAAUUGCUGUACUGGCCACGGGUUGCCAUUGCGAGGUCGACGACUUCAUCAGCCAAGCACACCUCUGUAGAAUAAAUGAUCCUGGCCUCGCAGGACAGGCCACCCAUGAA